rnacentral:lncRNA from 1 species
AAAAAUGUUGGUAGGUCAUACGUUGGGCACUAAAUCAUCAAUUCCGAAAAAGAAGCAUGAAUUGGUAAUAUUUGAUGUUAUUUCAAUAUUUUUUGUCUUUAAUCAUGUAUUAAACUUCUAUGAAUAGAGUAUUUCUUGAAUUAUGUACUACCAGUGGCGAAGCCAGGAUGUUUUGUCAGUGGGGUCGAAAUUAUUACUGAGUUA